GUUGCUAGUUCAAAUACUGUGAGGGCCUCAUUUAUUCUACAUUUCACAUACAAAGAUUAAGUCCAGUAAAUAGAAGAGUCAGGAGCCCCACUAUUUCAGUUUUCAUGAUGGUUUCUAGAAAUUAAUUUAAGAACCUUUUAAUUCCUUCGUGAAUGCUAAAGUACAAGUAAAAAUCUACUUUUCCCAAUUCUGGAAAAUUCUCAUGUACAUAUGUGGAUGUCUACCUGCAUUACUCCUCAUGGUGGAAAGAUACUAAGGUAUUUCUCAUACAGUAUUAGAGAUGCAGCUGUAUGCGCUGCAGAUCUUUUUGGUCUAAGAUGUCACUACUUUCAGUAAAAAUAAUAACACACAGUUUAGUUCUUGUAUUCCCUACAUAUCAUUUGAGUGAUAUGCCUAACAUACUUAUGUAUAUAGAAAGUGUGUUUUCCAUUAUGUAUGUUAUAUUCUUACAUGUAAUUAAUGUAUAUUCCCGUACGUAGUGUAUGUAUAUCAAACUGUACUUUGAAGCUGGUUGUGACUACAGAGUCUUAUAGGUUUCUGUUCCUUUUGGGGGAACAUUUUUGUUAUCUUCCCGUGCUCCUGUGAAGGAGAAUUUUGCUGGUUUCCUCACCUCACUGGAGGAGAGAUUGGUUUGCACAGAGGCUGCCUCUUGACAAACCCUUCAUUGACUAAUUUUAUCUAAGCAGCUUUUAAUUUGCUGUAUGGUACUUACCGAUUCUGUGGCUUUCAUGGUCAGUGUAACGUGUCAAACCCAGCUGCACUGUCUCCUGAGACAGGAAGGUUGCCACCAUUUUUAAUUUUUUCUUGACAUCCACCCUUUUCUAAUAAGCAUUCAUUUUUAAACUGAUAGGUCAGUGAUAAGUAAGCUCUGUUUACUUGUGUGUAUUUCACUAUACAUCCAGUUUGGGAAAUUCCUUCUUCUUCUGUAAAAUGUCCUUAUGAAGUAUGUGGGAGAUCAGUCUAGACAAAUCAUGGCACUCCAUUUUGAAUGUGUGUCUGAAAGUAAAAUCACAUAGUCCAUAGUUUACUCUAGGUUUAUUUUCACUGUUUGUUUUACCAAGAAGGAAGCAAUACUGGUGCUUUGUCCCAUGCAUUUUAGGAUUAUCCUUCUGAGUGAGAAUCUGAAUCAGUAUAGUCCUAAGCACAAGUUUCAUAAAUACAUUGAAAUUCAUAUAUAUGUCUUGUUAUUUGUACUUUAAUAGUCAGCUUUCUUAAAUUAUGAACAGCUUAAUGGUUCAGUUUAAUGCAGGAUUGGUGUUCACUGACUUUAAUAAUGAAUCCUUUUACAACUGAAGAAUCUUUCUAACCAUCUAGGACUAAAGCCUCUAUCAUCUAUUUAAAUCCAUCAAUGCAUACUCAAAAUCUGAGAUUUUCCAUCUUUUAAAUUUCCCACUUAUGUUCAGACAGUCACAGCAUCUAGAAUAUCAGAAAAAAUGCUCUUUUCUCUAUAAUUGUAAUUACCUUUAACAAACAGUACAAACUUUAGUUUGGAGGGCUUGCUUUCUAGGGGACUUCUGGUCUUGCUUAGAGAAAACUUGUGACAAGAAGUCUGUUUAAUUUAGGCAAUUCACAGGAACAGAUGAAUCCCAACCUGUGUCCUAUCCCUCUAUCCCAUGCAGCAAAUUUCACACUAUAAAAUCAGUAUAAAAUCAGAAAAUUAUGGUUCAUAUUCCAAGCUAAACACAUCUGUGAGUCUUGCUUGUUGUCAUAUCUUUCCUUCUAUGCGAUGUGCAUAGACAAUUACUAUUUUUGACACUGGAAUCAUUGUUUUGUAUUGAGAAUCUUGGAAAACCUGAUGAAACUCCCUUUUAAAAAGUAUCAAGAUUAUAACUCUCAAAAUCCAGCUGUAACUUUUUGAUAUUUAAAGUUAGCGAGGUCACCAGAAGUAACUUCUCAGCUGCACAGUAUCUAUUCAAGGGGAUUCAUUCUCAACUCCAUGGUAACACCUUAGACGUGACCUUUAUUGUUCCUCAGCUGACAAAUGGAAUAGAAUUUGGUUGAAAGGAGCACACUUCUAUGAAGAUACCGUGGGUUUUUUGUUCUUGUUUUUUUCUUUUUUUCCAAGGUAAACAACUAACAAAUACUAUGGGGCUGAGUUUCAAGUGAUUAAUUGCAAUUUUAAUCAGUUCAAUUAAAAUAAUAGUAAUAAUUAAAAAAAAAAAAUCAGGAGAAUGACCCCAAGACUUAAUAACAAUUUGUACCCAUCACAGUGGUUGUAAAAUACUAGCACUGGUUAACAUGCCCAUAUUUGUACACACAGGCUGCAAAGCAAUGCAUCUGAGAUACUUUGUUCUCCAAGUACUGUACUCCAAGGAUGAUUGUUCAGGGUGAGAAAUAUGCAUCAUAUAACUGGUCGAUGUACCAUCUUCUGCAAAUUUGGGUUUAAAGCCAGUAAUUUUAUAUAGAGGUUGAACUUUGCAGAUGACUAAUCUCUGGUAUUUUUAAGUCUAACUAUUUCUGUGGUUUGAAUAUGAGAACAACUGAUUCUGUCAUGUGGCACAAUUUUUAAAUUAUAUAUUAUUACAUUUGAUUGAGGCAGUUAUGUUUCUUUGAAAUUAUAUUUCAAAUCAGACAGAAGAGGCAAUAAUUAGAGUCUGCGAGCUUGGAAAUUUUGCACUGUGUAUUUAUUUAUAAGAAUAUUCAAAGAUUUACAACACAUGUUCUGUUCUGAUUCUCUCUAAUUUACUUUCUUUUCCCUAAUGAGCAUUUGUCAAUUGCCAUAUACUUCAAUUUUCUUUAACUAGGUCUGUCAAGAUAUGAGAGACAUACAUUAAAAAAAAAAAAAAAAAAAAAAAAAAAAACUAUCUCACAAAAUGGGAAUGAGUGAAGUUGAAUCAGUUCCAUGACAUUUUGGGGAAAAAUGCAGGCAUGAAUCAGUUUUCUUGAAAUGUACGUUCUGACUCAGCAUUCACAAGGUCUUGACUAAAGGUCUGCUCCUGAGAAAUGCUGCUCAAAUGCACUUUUCUGUAAUGGGCCAGAUCUUCAAGUGGGUUAAUGUGGUAAAGCAGUUUAUACCAUACAAGGAUCUUGCUGAAAGGCAGCCAGUAGCAUUCACGGCAUCUCAUAGAUGGACCAUCAGAAAAUAAAAAAUGUCCUGAGUUCUUUCUAAGGCCAAUUUUCCAGUUGGUCAAUUGUGUUUUAGAAGUAAUGUCUUUUUAGACAAAUGCAGACCUCUUCAAGGGAUCAAGUCAAUGGAUUAAUGUGGACAGAUCCUUAUAGGUUAAGGGAAAGGGCUUUUAAUUUUUAACUCUACUCCUUAGAAUCAUGACCAUACAAAAAAAAAAAAAAAAAAAAAAAGUGAAGAAAUAUCUGACACGGUCCCUUGUGUAAACAAGAUCAUGAAUGUAAAGCUUAAAAUGCCACUGUGAAAUUUUAAUGCUUAUUUAUUAUGGUUAUGAGGAAACCUGUACAAUAAGAUGAUGAUAAUAAUAAUGAAUAGUCAUCAGUGCCAAUAUGAUUCUACUAUUUUUCUACAUAUGCUUUAUCGUGGCAUUUUGUGUAGCUUGUGUUCUGUGUAAAGAAAUGUCAAUAAAAUCUUUGCUUCCUUUUG
ensembl:lncRNA